AUUAAUAAGCGGAGGAAAAGAAACCAACCGGGAUUCCCUGAGUAAGGGCGACUGAAAUGGGAGGAGCCCAGCGCAUAACCUCGCGGUCCCUGGCCGGCCGACGAGGGGUGUUGCGUUUCGGUGGACCCGCCCCGCUCGGGCCGUUUACCGCCUAAGUCAUUGCUUGAAAGCAGCCCCGCGGAGGGUGAUAGGCCCGUGUGGCGGCGCCUGUAAAAAGGGUAAAGGCGGCUCGGGCGGAGGGGUCUUCACCGUAGAGUCGGGUUGCUUAGUACUGCAGCCCUAAGCAGGUGGUAAACUCCAUCUAAGGCUAAAUACUACCACGAGUCCGAUAGAGAACAAGUACCGUGAGGGAAAGUUGAAAAGGACUUUGAAGAGAGAGUUCAAAAGGACGUGAAACCGUUAGAAGCUUAAACGGGUGGAACCGCGAAGGUCGAACGAGGGGAUUCAGCUCGUCGGUCUGCGGAAGCGGGCGGCGGUACAUGAGAAUUCCAGUGAGAGGACCCGGCGCAAACGACGACAUGCCGUGGCCCCGCCCCCGCCUCCGGAGUUGCCGGCGGGCUUACUUCUCCCUCCAGUAGGUCGCCGCGACCCGUCGCGGGGACCCCCAAGGCCGUCCCGGAUUGGUAGCCCAGGCGCAGCUCUGGGUGAUGACCGGCGGCGGUUCUGACGGGCCCCUGCGACGGUCACUGCCAGGAGGCCGCGUCCGCGCGGCCUCUCGCGGCGUGCAAGGGAUCGGUAAUCCACCCGACCC
rnacentral:rRNA from 1 species